ACCACUCCACUGCUUGACUCAACAUGGCGACAAUCAAGAAUCGUUACAUCCUACCACGAAACUUGGGAGAAUAGUUUACAAGAUCAUUUUUACUUCAAAUACGAUUCAAUGUUUCGUGAAGACCUGGCGAGCCUUUGUACAACAUCAUCAGGAGAGCAUCGGGCUUUCCAGGGGAUUCCAUGACAUUAUCGAGCUAGAAAUUUCGACAAUAGUCGUCAAUAGAAAAAGCGGUUUGACGCCAAAGAGCUACUUCAAAUGCAACUAUACAGAUUGUCUUGGCCCACUGUCAAAGCGCUUCUCGCAUCUGCGUCCGUCGAUCGCCCACUUUUUGCAAUAUCCCUCUAAAAUGCGCCACUACGGCGACUAGCAAGGAGAACCGCUCACGAGCAAGCAUCCAACAUAAUUUCUUCACACCUAAAGAAAUUUAGUUGCAUUGCUUAGCAUGAACAUGCUGGGAAAACAAACUGGAAGAGACCUGAUGACUAUCCAUUUUAUGCUUCAGGAAUUUACAAAACGUGCGUGAGAAAAUGGGCAGUCGACUUUGCCCAUAUAACGCAGUAACCUUGAAAAACCGUUACCCUCCAUGUUUUUGUUUGCCGACACAGCAUAUCAGCAUAUUAGGCAUAAUCGGUGCACGGAAUAUAACGUUACAAAAAACGUUGUCCGGAGAAAAUUGCGUUUUGUCGAAGCUGUAGGUCAUCACGUCGUGCACUAAUUUUAGAGCACUUUAUUCCCGUUGUCGAUGCUGACUACGAUGGAAUGACGGCUUGAAACUUUCGAUUAGAAAGACUUUUCAUCUGCCUAUGGGAGUCACGCUCUUGACCUGUCUAUUCACUUCGAACUCAGCGGCAUCAUUCUCAUCAUCAGACUCCCAUCAAUCUUGUUACCAGAGGUUGUUGUCCUUUUCGUACGUCCGCACUAUAUCAGUAAGUAGAAAACUGGCUAUCGUAUCUUUUGUGACGAAUUUAAAAAGAAAUUUUUUGCAGUGCUAACGGAUCUAGAAUGUUUUUUAAGUGAUAGAAAAAAAAAAACUACACGCAUAAUCUCUUUCAGCUUAAUUAAUUUUUUCAUGAGCCUAUACUCGGAAAAUCAACUUGAGAUGCCAUUUUGCUGAUUCAUCAUCAAAUUAUUAUGCAAAAGACCAUUUACAAAUUACAUGGAAACAUUAUCGAACUGUAAGUGCUCAUUUUCAACAUCUUUUCCCCUCACCGAUGCCGAUAAUUGCUGUUAGUGAAGCAGUAUUUUUCACGGUAAUCGGAACAUUCAGUAUCGAAAGAAGCAAAGAGUGCCUUGUAUCUGGCGAAAUAAUCAUUCCACAAAUUUAUCCCAAAAUCAGCAACUUUAAGUCAACGAAUACGUCAGAUCCCUUGAAAACUAUCAAUCUUUAGUUUCAAGCGCAUCUUGUAUGAUCCAGUGCAUACAACGCAUCCCUUUAAUGCUCGAAAUUAAAGGGAUGCAACAUUACAAAACACAUGGAAUUAAAAUGUAUCGUUCUGUAACAAUUAUCAAUACAGUUCAUGUACAGAAUA